rnacentral:tRNA from 1 species
ACUCAAAUAGUUUAAAAAAAAUGUAAACUUGUGGCGUUUAAGAUAUAAAGUUUUAUUUUGGGUA